rnacentral:ncRNA from 1 species
AAAGACUUAGUCCCAACCUUACUAUUAGUUGCUACCAAACACAUACAUGCAAGUAUCCGCGCCCCAGUGUAAAUGCCCCCGCCUUGCUUGAACCCUGGGCCGGGGGGCAGGUAUCAGGCACACAACCACCCACGUAGCCCAAGACACCUUGCACUGGCCACACCCCCACGGGCAUUCAGCAGUAGUUAACAUUGAGCAAUAGGCGCAAGCCUGACUCAGUUAUGGUAGCACCCAGGGUUGGUAAAUCUUGUGCCAGCCACCGCGGUCAUACAAGAAACCCAAAUUAAUAGUAAACGGCGUAAAGAGUGGCACAACCAUAUCCCGCCAACUAGGGCUGAGAUGUAAUCAAGCCGUCACACGCCCAGAGUAUGCUCAAAACCACCGCCAAGGCGGCCCUAGCCCACGCUCGACGAACAAACCCCACGAAAGCCAGGACUCAAACUGGGAUUAGAUACCCCACUAUGCCCGGCCCUAAACCUCGGUGUUCCACCCCAAACCAAAACACCCGCCAGAGUAUUACGAGCACAAACGCUUAAAACUCUAAGGACUUGGCGGUGCCCCAAACCCAUCUAGAGGAGCCUGUCCUAUAAUCGACAACCCACGAUACACCCAACCGCCCCUUGCACAAGCAGCCUACAUACCGCCGUCGCCAGCCCACCUUAUGAGAGCACCACAGUGAGCACAAAAGCAAACCCGCUAACAAGACAGGUCAAGGUAUAGCCCAUGGGACGGAAGAGAUGGGCUACAUUUUCUAAAAUAGAAGACAACGGACAGGGACAUGAAACUGUCCCUCAAAGGCGGAUUUAGCAGUAAAGACAGUCCCAUAAAACUGUCUUUAAGAUGGCCCUGGAGCACGUACAUACCGCCCGUCACCCUCAUCACAAACCACUCUCACUUAUCCCUAAUACCACUACAGGUCAAAGAUGAGGUAAGUCGUAACAAGGUAAGUGUACCGGAAGGUGCACUUGGCAUAC